GGACCAUCAUGUCGGUCGUGCCUCGGUACGUACUGGUAUUGUUGGUUCCUCCCUUCUGAUGAACCGUUAUACCAUUUAGUUGGUGUGGCGGGGAAUCAGGACUGUUACUUUGAAAAAAUUAGAGUGUUUAAAGCAGGCAUUAGCUUGAAUACAUUAGCAUGGAAUAAUGAAAUAGGACGUUUGAUCCUAUUUUGUUGGUUUCUAGGAUUGACGUA
rnacentral:rRNA from 1 species